GCGUAGCUAGGACCCUUCAAAUUUUGUUUGAGCCGGAGUUCCACCAUCUCCGGCCAGCUCUGUUCUACUAUAAAAAUGCAGCAACUUCCAUCUUCACUCACUGCCGAUGCUCUUUUUAGUUGAGAAAGUCCGACGGGGCCGUCGAGGUUCGUGUCGUCCGAUGAGGUUAUAUCAUUUUGAGGGAUCUAAGAUUAGAGUUUUCAUGUACCCAAGCAAUAUAUAUAAGGUAUUCUUUUUACUUGUCUACUGUUUUAACUGAAUAUAAUGUGUUUAUGUUAGUGUUUUCUAUGGCCACUGUGUCCAUCACAUUUUGUACUUAAGUUUCUAUUUAUUUGACCCUUGGCCUAUAUUCAUCACUUUAUCAAAACUAUUAGUACUAUUAUUGUUGUCGUUAUGUGAUAAAAACACUUAAUUACAGUAAAAUUAAUGAGAAAUACGUAUAUCAAAAAGAUUGUUUCUCAUCAAGAACAUUUGAGAGGAAAAUCAAAAUGAGGUGUACUAAUGAAAGAUGGAAUAACUUAAUUAAGAUGUGAGAGAUGAUUAGCUAAUAGAUAGCAGGUUGAAAGACUUUUUUUAUUAAUAUUAUUUGAUUCAUUUUUGGUCAUUCCUUAUCAGGCGAGGCACAAAAUAAUUAGUAUGGAGAAUACUACGUAAGUUAGGCAUAGGAAACAGUUGUAUCAAAGUAGUAUGUGUGCGCGCAAUUUUAGGCGAAACAAUCUUAAUAAUAAUAAAAAGUUUUAAAUUGUGUACACGUUUGCGUGAUAAGAGUACGAUUUAAAAAUAAACACUCAUAGAAAUACUCUAGACACGGUUUUUUUUAAAUUACUAUUAUGAUUGCCUACAUGUUCGCGGGACGUUAUUGUGAUUUUUUCAAAUAAAUCCAAAGUACUCGUUCGCGCGACUUUGACAAACUUUUUCCUAAAUAAAAUAAGUGUUGCAAAUUGUGUACACAUACGUGUGCCGUGAUUUUUGACACACUAAAACUAAAUGAGUAUACGUAUGUGUAUCUCAUCUUAAGUUAAUUCUUUAAAUACGGAUUAUCAAGUAAUUAAUAGCAGUAAAAGGUAAAAUAAACAUAGGUCCUAAAAUGAGUAAUUAGACAAAAUAAGUCAUGUAUAAAUUGCUAAGCGACCGUGCUAAAACCACGGAACUCGGGAAUGCCUAACACCUUCUCCCGGGUUAACAGAAUUUCUUACCUAGUUUUUCUGGUUUCGCAGACUUUUAAAUGAAGUCAAAUUUUUCUCGAUUUGGGAUUUAAAAUAAACCGGUGACUUGGGAUACCAUAUAAAUUAUCCCAAGUGACGACUCUUAAAUAAAUACACAAUCUUAUUUCGAUUAAUGUCACUUUAAUUAGAAAAACUCCCUUAUAUCUCUCUCGGGUAAAAAGGAGGUGUGACAUAAAUCUAAUAUUUUGUUAAUUAGCUAUGAAUUAGUUUCAAUUGAUUAGUGUUUCAAUUGAUUAUUUAACAUUGUAUUUUAUAGAAAUCUAGGGUUUAGAUCUUGUUUUAAUUGAAUUGAUUACAUACGAUAUAAAUUGAAUGUUUGAGUUUGUAUUGUCUUGAAUAGUUUAGUUAGAAUUGAAUUAUUAACUUUGUAUUGUCUUGAAUAGUUGUCACACCUCCUUUUUGCGCGCCCCGCCCCGAAGGGUAAAAAUGCGCGAGGGGAGUUUUUUCCAACUUAAGUGACAAUAUUCGAAAUGAGAUUAUUUAUUUAAUUCAGAGUCGCCCCUUGGGAAAGGUUUGGCUUUUGGUGUCCCAAGUCACCGGUUUAUCUUGAAUCCCAGAUCGAGGAAAUUUUUGACUUUUCCAAAUGAAAUUUGCGAACCAAAAUUCUAAGUAAGAAAUUCUGUUGACCCGAGGGAAGGUGUUAGGCACCCUCGAAUCCCGUGGUUUUAGCACGGUCGCUUAAAUUGUUAUAAUGACUAAAUAUCUGAUUUAAAUACAUGUCAUGACUUAUGUGCUUUUAUUAAGUUUAAACCGCUUUUACUAUUAUCAUUUAUUUUGUAUAGAAUUGCAACGUCGUGAAAAUGCAUCUCGAACCACGUCACAAUCAAUGCACCCGUAGUUGUUAACACAUUUCGACUCCGUCGAGGUUUGGAUUUGGGUCACAUCAAUGUGCACCCGAAUUUAAGAAUGUAAUUUUAAUUGAGUCGUGCCUAAAGAGUCUAACGCGUUAUUAUCUUUGGAGAAGGCAGGGAAAUUCACUAGACAGCCCAUCCCAAAUUCCAAGUAUUUAUUAUGAUUUGUUAUUGAGGGCCCCGUAAUGUGUAUCUUUAUUUGACGAGGCUCGUCUCAUUAUUUUUAAAAGGGAUAUCCUAAAGUGACUACAUUUCUAUUAUGUUUGUCUCUAAAAAAAAUAGAAAGGGAAAAAAAAGAGUGCGUGCUAAUUUGAUUGCAUGCUUUUGGCCAACUCCAGAUUUCCUAUUAAUCAUCUGAUUAGUUGUUUACGAGAUGAAGCAUGCCAUACCUCGUGGAACAUGCUUUUAAUUUGAUAAAAUUACAUAUAAGCUGAUGAAACGCUACACUUACUCCAAACAUUUCUUGAGUUGAAUUUAACUAAACUUAUUUAGGCUAGAUUAAGGGAAUUAACUACUAGACAUUGUUACUAAUGGGAUUCGAACGUGAUCCUACAUACUGUUACAGUUAAGUAACAUACUGCCUAACGGGACCCGAUAAAAGAACUAAAAAUAAAACAGAACUGCGUUGUAUAAAGUCGAAGUAUUCUAUCAUAUGCAUACCAUUAUAGCUAAAAAGGAAUCUAGUCAGUCACUAUGUCAACUAUCCAUGCAUUCUAUGGAUUGUACAAUUACAUACCUCAUACCAACAAUCAACUAUAAACCAAAACAAAAACAAAACUAAAACUCAGUUAAGUAUCAAUUAACUAUCCUUUCAUGCUAUUGAAUUACAAACUAGUCAAUUAUACAAGCCCAUCAAUAUACCAUGAGUAUUACAACAAAUAUUUAAACUUCUUCAACAUCUUUCAUUUCAUGCUUUCAAACUGUUACAGUUACACCAAUAUAGGACUCGAAAUGUGUACCUGGAAUGCUGAAAAUGCAAAGGAGAAGAGGAAGAAGAUAGGGAAAAUCAGCAGCAGCAGGAACAAAAUAACAGCAGCAAACAAAGCAACACAGCAG
rnacentral:lncRNA from 1 species